rnacentral:rRNA from 1 species
AGAACGAACGCUGGCGGCAUGCCUAACACAUGCAAGUCGAACGAGACCUUCGGGUCUAGUGGCGCACGGGUGCGUAACGCGUGGGAAUCUGCCCUUGGGUACGGAAUAACAGUGAGAAAUUACUGCUAAUACCGUAUGAUGUCUUCGGGCCAAAGAUUUAUCGCCCAGGGAUGAGCCCGCGUUGGAUUAGCUAGUUGGUGGGGUAAAGGCCUACCAAGGCGACGAUCCAUAGCUGGUCUGAGAGGAUGAUCAGCCACACUGGGACUGAGACACGGCCCAGACUCCUACGGGAGGCAGCAGUGGGGAAUAUUGGACAAUGGGCGAAAGCCUGAUCCAGCAAUGCCGCGUGAGUGAAGAAGGCCUUAGGGUUGUAAAGCUCUUUUACCCGGGAAGAUAAUGACUGUACCGGGAGAAUAAGCCCCGGCUAACUCCGCGCCAGCAGCCGC